UACGAAGGGGGCUAGCGUUGCUCGGAAUCACUGGGCGUAAAGCGCACGUAGGCGGAUCUUUAAGUCAGGGGUGAAAUCCUGGAGCUCAACUCCAGAACUGCCUUUGAUACUGGGGAUCUCGAGUCCGGAAGAGGUGAGUGGAACUCCGAGUGUAGAGGUGAAAUUCGUAGAUAUUCGGAAGAACACCAGUGGCGAAGGCGGCUCACUGGUCCGGUACUGACGCUGAGACGCGAAAGCGUGGGUAGCAAACAGG
rnacentral:rRNA from 1 species